UGGUGGAGCCGCUGAUCCAAGGUGGUAGUAGGUGAGUGAUGGGGUGACGCAGGAAGGUAGUCCAGCCCGGGCGGUGGUUGUCCCGGGGUAAGGGUGUAGCCCGUCAUCCAGGUAAAUCCGGAUGGCACAUAAGGGUGAGACCUGAUGCCGAGCCGAUUGUGGUGAAGUGGAUGAUCCUAUGCUGUCGAGAAAAGCCUCUAGCGAGUUUCAUGGCGGCCCGUACCCUAAACCGAC
rnacentral:rRNA from 1 species